CUUUCCCUCUCACUGAAGAGGCUUUUUCCAUCCAUUACCCUGCCCAAGCCCACACAGACUCCGCUCCUGUGGCUCGUUAGAUCCGGAGGUCAGCAUCCACAUUGCACUGGCGUCCAGAGCUGCUCUCCCAUGCCAUGAGGAAUCCAAGCUGGAGCCCCAGCACCUUCCCCCUCACCUUGCAGGGAUUUUCCCCGUCCCGGCAUUCUGGCUCCAGCAGGAAAAGUACCAGGCGAGCUGGCUCCUCCAGAGCAGACAGAAUUCCGUCGGAAGUGCAAGGACAAGCACUAAUCCUGAGGCUCCGGCUCUGCCAAGGAGCAGGGAGCAGCUUCCCAGCAGAAUCCCUUCUCCAGCCCCUCUGUCCCUCUCCACCACCUCUUUUCCAGCCUCAGGGAUGGAGGGAAAAGCAGGAAACCCCCCCCUUGUAUCCUGUUUUCCAAGAAAGCAAAACCCAUCCCACAACAGGAGUAUGGCCCUGAAGAGUUUCACGUCCAAAAUCUGGGAAUAAAUACAUGGAUGUGAA